AUUCCUGCGUGAGGGCUGUGCCUCAAAGUGGGCCUUCGGCAGCGUGGCGGCGUGCCCUGAGAGGGCAAAUUGAGCACUGCCAGAAAAUGGAGUCCACAGACAGAGGGAUGCUGGGGACCCCAGGUUGCCUCUUUGGUCCAGGAACGUACAAGGAGACCCGGGAACGCUGCUUCUCCACCAAGCUGCUGGUUCCAAGACUUUUGCCGUUUGCUUCUGGGUGGGUGUAGAACUGGAGUCCACAUAUCAGCCGUGUUCUCCCUAUGCCCUAAGAAAAGAGUGUUUCCAGCGAGCACAUCCAGUGGAAUUCCCAACGCUCUGCCCGGAGUCCGCAACUUUGGGAAGGGGAGUCAAUUUAUCAGGUCACCUCUGGUCUGU
ensembl:lncRNA